GAUGAACGCUGGCGGCGUGCCUAACACAUGCAAGUCGAGCGAACAGACGAGGAGCUUGCCCCUCUGCCGCUAGCGGCGGACGGGUGAGUAACACGUGGAUAACCUACCUAUAAGACUGGGAUAACUUCGGGAAACCGGAGCCAAUACCGGAUAAUAUAUUGAACCGCAUGGCUCAUUAGUGCUAGACGGCUUCGCUGUCACUUAUAGAUCGAUCCGCGCCGCAUUAGUUAGUUGGUAAGGUAACGGCUUACCAAGGCGACGAUUCGUAGCCGACCCGAGAGGGUGAUCGGCCACACUGGAACUGAGACACGGUCCAGACUCCUACGGGAGGCAGCAGUAGGGAAUCUUCCGCAAUGGGCGAAAGCCUGACGGAGCAACGCCGCGUGAGUGAUGAAGGUCUUCGGAUCGUAAAGCUCUGUUAUGAGGGAAGAAGGAAUGUGUAAGAAUCUAUGCACGUCUUGACGGUACCUAAUCAAAAAGCAACGGCUAACUACGUG
rnacentral:rRNA from 1 species